rnacentral:rRNA from 1 species
CGGUAACAGGUUAAGCUGACGAGUGGCGAACGGGUGAGUAAUGUAUCGGAACGUGCCCAGUCGUGGGGGAUAACUGCUCGAAAGAGCAGCUAAUACCGCAUACGACCUGAGGGUGAAAGCGGGGGAUCGCAAGACCUCGCGCGAUUGGAGCGGCCGAUAUCAGAUUAGGUAGUUGGUGAGGUAAAGGCUCACCAAGCCGACGAUCUGUAGCUGGUCUGAGAGGACGACCAGCCACACUGGGACUGAGACACGGCCCAGACUCCUACGGGAGGCAGCAGUGGGGAAUUUUGGACAAUGGGCGCAAGCCUGAUCCAGCCAUGCCGCGUGCGGGAAGAAGGCCUUCGGGUUGUAAACCGCUUUUGUCAGGGAAGAAAAGGUUCUGGCUAAUACCUGGGACUCAUGACGGUACCUGAAGAAUAAGCACCGGCUAACUACGUGCCAGCAGCCGCGGUAAUACGUAGGGUGCAAGCGUUAAUCGGAAUUACUGGGCGUAAAGCGUGCGCAGGCGGUUAUGCAAGACAGAGGUGAAAUCCCCGGGCUCAACCUGGGAACUGCCUUUGUGACUGCAUGGCUAGAGUACGGUAGAGGGGGAUGGAAUUCCGCGUGUAGCAGUGAAAUGCGUAGAUAUGCGGAGGAACACCGAUGGCGAAGGCAAUCCCCUGGACCUGUACUGACGCUCAUGCACGAAAGCGUG